UACGUAGGUGGCAAGCGUUGUCCGGAUUUACUGGGCGUAAAGAGCGCGCAGGCGGUCGUUCAAGUCGCGUGUGAAAGCCCCCGGCUCAACUGGGGAGGGUCACGCGAUACUGAUCGACUCGAAGGCAGGAGAGGGUAGUGGAAUUCCCGGUGUAGUGGUGAAAUUCGUAGAUAUUCGCAAGAACACCAGUGGCGAAGGCGGCUCACUGGCCCGGUACUGACGCUGAGGUGCGAAAGCGUGGGGGGCAAACAGG
rnacentral:rRNA from 1 species